UAGGGGGCAAGCGUUAUCCGGAUUUACUGGGUGUAAAGGGAGCGUAGACGGCAAGGCAAGUCUGGAGUGAAAACCCGGGGCUCAACCCCGGGAUUGCUUUGGAAACUGUUUGGCUGGAGUGCCGGAGAGGUAAGCGGAAUUCCUAGUGUAGCGGUGAAAUGCGUAGAUAUUAGGAGGAACACCAGUGGCGAAGGCGGCUUACUGGACGGUAACUGACGUUGAGGCUCGAAAGUGCGGGUAUCAA
rnacentral:rRNA from 1 species